UACGUAGGAUGUGAGCGUUAUCCGGAAUUACUGGGUGUAAAGGGAGCGCAGGCGGGACUGCAAGUUGGAUGUGAAAUGCCGCAGCUUAACUGCGGAGCUGCAUCCAAAACUGUAGUUCUUGAGUGGAGUAGAGGCAAGCGGAAUUCCGAGUGUAGCGGUGAAAUGCGUAGAUAUUCGGAGGAACACCAGUGGCGAAGGCGGCUUGCUGGGCUCUAACUGACGCUGAGGCUCGAAAGUGUGGGGAGCAAACAGG
rnacentral:rRNA from 1 species